rnacentral:rRNA from 1 species
GGGCGUUAAGUUGCAGGGUAUAGACCCGAAACCCGGUGAUCUAGCCAUGGGCAGGUUGAAGGUUGGGUAACACUAACUGGAGGACCGAACCGACUAAUGUUGAAAAAUUAGCGGAUGACCUGUGGCUGGGGGUGAAAGGCCAAUCAAACCGGGAGAUAGCUGGUUCUCCCCGAAAGCUAUUUAGGUAGCGCCUCGUGAAUUCAUCUCCGGGGGUAGAGCACUGUUUCGGCUAGGGGGCCAUCCCGGCUUACCAACCCGAUGCAAACUGCGAAUACCGGAGAAUGUUAUCACGGGAGACACACGGCGGGGGCUAACGUCCGUCGUGAAGAGGGAAACAACCCAGACCGCCAGCUAAGGUCCCAAAGUCAUGGUUAAGUGGGAAACGAUGUGGGAAGGCCCAGACAGCCAGGAUGUUGGCUUAGAAGCAGCCAUCAUUUAAAGAAAGCGUAAUAGCUCACUGGUCGAGUCGGCCUGCGCGGAAGAUG